rnacentral:rRNA from 1 species
AGAGUUUGAUCCUGGCUCAGGAUGAACGCUAGCGACAGGCUUAACACAUGCAAGUCGAGGGGCAGCACGGUGUAGCGAUACACUGGUGGCGACCGGCGCACGGGUGAGUAACACGUGUGCAACCAACCCCGUACCGGGAGAUAACCCGCGGAAACGUGGACUAACAUCCCAUGAGACUCUAGAGCCGCAUGGCUCUAGAUUUAAAAUUCCGGUGGUACGGGACGGGCACGCGCGACAUUAGGUAGUUGGCGGGGUAACGGCCCACCAAGCCGACGAUGUCUAGGGGUUCUGAGAGGAAGGUCCCCCACACUGGAACUGAGACACGGUCCAGACUCCUACGGGAGGCAGCAGUGAGGAAUAUUGGUCAAUGGGCGAGAGCCUGAACCAGCCAAGUCGCGUGAGGGAAGAAUGGUCUAUGGCCUGUAAACCUCUUUUGUCAAGGAAGAAUAAGGAUGACGAGUCAUUCGAUGCCAGUACUUGACGAAUAAGCAUCGGCUAACUCCGUGCCAGCAGCCGCGGUAAUACGGGGGAUGCGAGCGUUAUCCGGAUUUAUUGGGUUUAAAGGGCGCGUAGGCGGGACGGCAAGUCAGCGGUAAAAGACUGCAGCUAAACUGUAGCACGCCGUUGAAACUGUUGACCUAGAGACGAGACGAGGGAGGCGGAACAAGUGAAGUAGCGGUGAAAUGCAUAGAUAUCACUUGGAACCCCGAUAGCGAAGGCAGCUUCCCAGGCUCGAUCUGACGCUGAUGCGCGAGAGCGUGGGUAGCGAACAGGAUUAGAUACCCUGGUAGUCCACGCCGUAA